UGCUGAAACUCCCAACAGCAUUUUCAUGCUCACAAACACCUGAUGAAGGAACCAUUGUGACAUAACCCAUUCAAGCAGAGUGAAGGGGCAACAGGCUGUCAACAGUGGCAGUAGUUGGGGGCUCCCAUCUAUUAAAAAGCCACAGAAAGUCUUUUCCUACUGCCUGAGGAAUUAAUCCCUUAUUUAACGUUCAUAAUUGCUGGAUCGAUUUAACAGGACUGGAGCUAACAUUUGCUUGGAUUUGGCACCAUUGAUAGGGAACUGCCUGCUGCGUCCUCCGCUUUGAAGUCACCCUGGUCUUUGGGCCUCCAUCACUUUCUUCAGCAUGUCCAACCCAUCUAAGAGGCGUAUGAUACUGGUGUUCCACUGGGUUAGGAAGAAGCCCCUGACAGAGAAGCCGUGCUCUACCAUCUCGGCCAGACCUUCUGCCUCUGCACCGGCUUGCAACACUCCUCACAUUUCACCCUACUUCACGAGGAGCAAGACACAACCCGCUCCGCUCCGGAGGUCCAGCAGGCACAAGGUGCUGUGAUUGCCGAAUCUCACUGACCCCAAGUUUUUAAGAUCUGUCAUUGGCAGCGUUGGCCAGAAGAGAGCCUGCAGGUGUGGAAACAAAAGAAGACUCCAGCGGGAACAGGAAAAGGGAAAGUGCAGAGCACAACCUCUCCUGGAAUCCAUGGCCUCGGACCUGGAAGGUGUCCCCACCCAAUUCCUCAAAAGUGAAGAACCACUGAAGGGUUUCUGUCGUGAGAGAGAGGUUCUCUUCGCAUGCUCAGAUGACCUCUUUUUAGAUGACUUCUGCCCCUAUUUCUGGACUGGAAGGCUCUGGGGAGAAAACCUGUUCCCGCAGAGGGCAGAGCCUUGGCUGUAGUUAGGUCAGCAGGUCAGAUGCAGAAGGCGACCUGGGUGGUGGUAUCUUGAUUGGGUUCAGGCUCAGCCCCCGCCGCCCGGCUCCGCUGGUUAAUUAGUUGCCCUCUGUGCUGGGCUUAGCAUCCUCUCAGUGCAACCAAUUACUGCUGGGAUAAUUAAAUUUAAUGCAGCAGUUUGUUA